rnacentral:sRNA from 1 species
UGAACACAUGUUCGGCUAAUCGACUCCUAAUGUGAUUAUUAUGCAAUUGUUGCCCCUCC